rnacentral:sRNA from 1 species
GCCAGGCGCAGGGGUGCAUGCCUGUAAUCCUAUCUACCUGGGAGGCUGAGACAGGAGGAUCGCAAGUUCAAAGCCAGCCUCAGCAAAAAACUGAGGCUCUAAGCAACUCAGUGAGACCCUGUCUCAC